rnacentral:rRNA from 1 species
CCUAACACAUGCAAGUCGAACGAAGUAGCAAUACUUAGUGGCAGACGGGUGAGUAACAUGUGGGUAUCUGCCCUUUGGCCUGGAAUAACACGAGGAAACUUGUGCUAAUACCGGAUAAGUCUUUACGGAGAAAGCUUUAUGCACCAUUGGAUGAGCCCGCACUUGAUUAGUUUGUUGGUAGGGUAAUGGCCUACCAAGACUGUGAUCAAUAGCUGAUUUGAGAGGAUGAUCAGCCACAUUGGGACUGAGACACGGCCCAAACUCCUACGGGAGGCAGCAGUGGGGAAUCUUGCACAAUGGAGGAAACUCUGAUGCAGCGAUGCCGCGUGAGUGAAGAAGGCCCUUGGGUUGUAAAGCUCUUUCGUCGGGGAAGAAAAUGACUGUACCCGAAUAAGAAGGUCCGGCUAACUUCGUGCCAGCAGCCGCGGUAAUACGAAGGGACCUAGCGUAGUUCGGAAUUACUGGGCUUAAAGAGUUCGUAGGUGGUUGAAAAAGUUGGUGGUGAAAUCCCAGAGCUUAACUCUGGAACUGCCAUCAAAACUUUUCAGCUAGAGUUUGAUAGAGGAAAGCAGAAUUUCUAGUGUAGAGGUGAAAUUCGUAGAUAUUAGAAAGAAUACCAAUUGCGAAGGCAGCUUUCUGGAUCAUUACUGACACUGAGGAACGAAA